GCUCUUGAAAGAUAACAGUAA
rnacentral:tRNA from 1 species